rnacentral:rRNA from 1 species
UACGGAGGGGACUAGCGUUGUUCGGAAUUACUGGGCGUAAAGCGCACGUAGGCGGAUUUGUAAGUCAGGGGUGAAAUCCCGGGGCUCAACCUCGGAACUGCCUUUGAUACUGCAAAUCUCGAGUCCGGAAGAGGUGAGUGGAAUUCCUAGUGUAGAGGUGAAAUUCGUAGAUAUUAGGAAGAACACCAGUGGCGAAGGCGGCUCACUGGUUCGGUACUGACGCUGAGGUGCGAAAGCGUGGGGAG